rnacentral:rRNA from 1 species
AAUAGAUACCCGGUAGUCCACGCCGUAAACGAUGAGUGCUAAGUGUUGGGGGGUUUCCGCCCCUCAGUGCUGCAGCUAACGCAUUAAGCACUCCGCCUGGGGAGUACGGUCGCAAGACUGAAACUCAAAGGAAUUGACGGGGGCCCGCACAAGCGGUGGAGCAUGUGGUUUAAUUCGAAGCAACGCGAAGAACCUUACCGGGUCUUGACAUCCCGGUGACCACUAUGGAGACAUAGUUUCCCCUUCGGGGGCAACGGUGACAGGUGGUGCAUGGUUGUUGUCAGCUCGUGUCGUGAGAUGUUGGGUUAAGUCCCGCAACGAGCGCAACCCUUAUUCUUAGUUGCCAUCAUUCAGUUGGGCACUCUAAGGAGACUGCCGGUGAUAAACCGGAGGAAGGUGGGGAUGACGUCAAAUCAUCAUGCCCCUUAUGACCUGGGCUACACACGUGCUACAAUGGACGGUACAAACGGUUGCCAACCCGCGAGGGGGAGCUAAUCCGAUAAAACCGUUCUCAGUUCGGAUUGUAGGCUGCAACUCGCCUACA